UUGCUUGAUUCAGCGGUAUAAAUACUAAAAUUGGAGCGAUACAGAGAAGAUUAGCAUGAUCGCUGCACAAAGAUGACAUUCAAAACCAUGAAGCGUUCUACAUUUCU
rnacentral:snRNA from 1 species